rnacentral:rRNA from 1 species
UGAGCUUGAUCCUGGCUCAGGACGAACGCUGGCGGUAUGCCUAAUACAUGCAAGUCGAACGCUGAAGCACUCUGCUUGCAGAGUGUGGAUGAGUGGCGAACGGGUGAGUAACACGUGGGUAACCUGCCCAUAAGAGGGGGAUAACAUCCGGAAACGGGUGCUAAUACCGCAUAGGUGAACGGAGCGCAUGCUCUGUUCAUUAAAGAUGGCCUUGUGCUAUCGCUUAUGGAUGGACCCGCGGCGUAUUAGCUAGUUGGUGAGGUAAUGGCUCACCAAGGCGAUGAUACGUAGCCGACCUGAGAGGGUGAUCGGCCACACUGGGACUGAGACACGGCCCAGACUCCUACGGGAGGCAGCAGUAGGGAAUCUUCCACAAUGGGCGAAAGCCUGAUGGAGCAAUACCGCGUGAGUGAAGAAGGUCUUCGGAUCGUAAAGCUCUGUUGUUAGAGAAGAACACGCAGAACAGUAACUGGUUCUGCGCUGACGGUAUCUAACCGAAGACG